GGAGAAAAGUAAACACCGGCAAGUGCAGCUGUGUCGGGGGAGGGUGGAUAUUAUCCCCCCUCCCACCGCCCCUUUGGCUCUGCCUCCCAGAGAGCCCCGAGAGGUCCCGGCUGCCGCUGCCCGGACAGCGCGCUCGGGGCUGCAGAGCCGGAGGAGCUGAGAAAGGAGCAGACGGGCGGCGCGCAGUCUGGAGAGAGAGAACGGAAAGGAACACAGCUAAUGUUGGACAAUUUGCAGGUGCAUUCAUGCUUUUGACCAAACAGAAUGCCAUUUGAUAAGGGGAAUCGACUUGCCUAAGUUUACACAGUGAAUGAAUGGAUUACCUCCUACUCACCUAAACCAGCCAUCCUGAAGAUAAGGUGAGCAAUGGAUUGUCACCGUCCACACUCCCUUUCUUCCUCAAACAAGCUCUCAGAUUCCUCACCAUUCACACCUUUCUUUCGCUAUAGUUGCCCACACCACUCUCCCACCCACUAUCUGGUCUCUUCUUAAUAUUUCCCUUUCCAAUGCUGCUCGCCUUUCCACCACUGUACCCACCGUCAAUUUUUCUAUUAAUUCUAUAAUUCUAUAA
rnacentral:lncRNA from 1 species